AGGAUGAACGCUGGCGGUGUGCCUAAUACAUGCAAGUCGAACGGGAUCUUCGGAUCUAGUGGCGAACGGGUGAGUAACACGUUGGUACCUACCCCUAAGUGGGGAAUAACUGCCCGAAAGGGUGGCUAAUACCGCAUAAUCCCGCAAGGGUAAAGCAGUAAUGCGCUUAGGGAGGGGCCUGCGUCUGAUUAGCUAGUUGGUAGGGUAAAAGCCUACCAAGGCGACGAUCAGUAGCUGGAUCGAGAGGUUGACCAGCCACACUGGGACUGAGAUACGGCCCAGACUCCUACGGGAGGCAGCAGUAAGGAAUCUUCCACAAUGGACGAAAGUCUGAUGGAGCAACACCGCGUGCAGGAUGACGGCCUUCGGGUUGUAAACUGCUUUUUAUAUGGGAAGAUUAUGACGGUACCAUAUGAAUAAGGACCGGCUAACUACGUGCCAGCAGCCGC
rnacentral:rRNA from 1 species